GACGAACGCUGGCGGCGGGCUUAACACAUGCAAGUCGAACGGAAAGGCCCUGCUUUUGUGGGGUGCUCGAGCGGCGAACGGGUGAGUAACACGUGAGUAACCUGCCCUUGACUUUGGGAUAACUUCAGGAAACUGGGGCUAAUACCGGAUAGGAGCUCCUGCUGCAUGGUGGGGGUUGGAAAGUUUCGGCGGUUGGGGAUGGACUCGCGGCUUAUCAGCUUGUUGGUGGGGUAGUGGCUUACCAAGGCUUUGACGGGUAGCCGGCCUGAGCGGGUGACCGGCCACAUUGGGACUGAGAUACGGCCCAGACUCCUACGGGAGGCAGCAGUGGGGAAUAUUGCACAAUGGGCGGAAGCCGGAUGCAGCAACGCCGCGUGCGGGAUGACGGCCUUCGGGUUGUAAACCGCUUUCGCCUGUGACGAAGCGUGAGUGACGGUAAUGGGUAAAGAAGCACCGGCUAACUACGUG
rnacentral:rRNA from 1 species